rnacentral:rRNA from 1 species
CCUACGGGUUGCACCAGGCGCGAAACCUUCACACUGUGCGAAAGCGCGACGAGGGGAUCCCAAGUGCUAACCCGAGAGGGUUGGCUGUUUACCUGUCUAAAACGCAGGUGGAGUAAGGGCUGGGUAAGACGGCUGCCAGCCGCCGCGGUAAUAGCUGCAGCCCGAGUGGUGACCGCUUUUAUUGGGCCUAAAACGUCCGUAGCCGGCCUGGUAAAUGCCUGGGUAAAUCGUGUCGCUCAACGAUACGAAUUCCGGGUAGACUGCUAGGCUUGAGACCGGGAGAGGCUAGAGGUACUCCUGGGGUAGAGGUGAAAUUCUGUAAUCCUAGGAGGACCACCUGUGGCGAAAGCGUCUAGCCAGAACGGGUCUGACGGUGAGGGACGAAGCCCUGGGUCACAAACCGGAUUAGAUACCCUGGUAGUC